AAGGACAUUUCAAGAAGGAAUCCAUCCUUUAUAAUGCUGUGUCUCUCCUCUUAUGCACUCACCUGAACAGCCUUUUCUUCUUCUUCUCUUUUUCUAAGGUAAAUCUGUGAAUAUGUUACGGAACAGAUGAAUGUGUGCAACCCUGUUGGCUGCAUAACUGUCGUGACUAUAUCCUGAGCAGGUUCAGCGUCGUCAUUACUGUUCUGCACAGACUUCAUCUUUUCAGUUGUUUCAAUUUUCUCUCUUUCAACCGCUAGCCAACAUGCAGCUGCAGCAAAAGUUAUAGCAAGAAGUGGAUAGAGGCAACCAUCUCUACACCUUCACCGUAGAGCACCACAGGAUCCGAGGACUUCCAGGAAAGCAUUAGCAAUGGGACCAAUCCUGUCACUCCUGAUCUGAGUUCUUCUUCUCCCCAAGUAAGAAGUCGUGGUGAAGAGCAGAUGCUGCUGAACGUUUCUUUUUGCUGACAAGCUGGUGCCCUCCAGCUUUCUCGGAGCUCUAAAGGAGUGCGGAGCCACUGCUGUGCAGCAGGACUGGAGCUAGCCACAAGGCAAGACUGCUUUCCCCCGUGACAGGCCAGACUUCAGCAGUACUGAGGAGCCUGCAUUCAACUCCUCCUGCCCUUUUCCUACCUUUCGAGAUAGCUUCCUGAAAGGUUAACGCUGCUGCUGGAUUUGAGAGAAAUCCUACAAGAAGCAAUCGUAAACUGGUUUUUGGCACCAUUAACUUGUUUCUCCAAAGCAAUAAAAAAGAAAAUGAAGCUUCAGCAUUCAGAAGUGUUCAUGAAUGAAGAACCUGAUGUAGACUGAAUAGCUGUUACUCUGGCUGGACUUCCUGAUGACAUCUCAUGGAGUCUUCCAGUUACCAUGUUGGCAUGUACUUUGGAGUUUUCUAGGACAGCUCGUGUGAGUUUAGCAAGCUAGCUAUGAGCUUUGGGAGGAUCUUUUAAAGUGCCCGGAG